rnacentral:rRNA from 1 species
CCUAGGGUGGGCAGCAGUGGGGAAUAUUGGACAAUGGGCGAAAGCCUGAUCCAGCCAUGCCGCGUGUGUGAAGAAGGCCUUCGGGUUGUAAAGCACUUUCAGUGGGGAAGAAAGCCUUGGGGCUAAUACCCUCGAGGAAGGACAUCACCCACAGAAGAAGCACCGGCUAACUCCGUGCCAGCAGCCGCGGUAAUACGGAGGGUGCGAGCGUUAAUCGGAAUUACUGGGCGUAGAGCGCGCGUAGGCGGUCUGAUAAGCCGGUUGUGAAAGCCCCGGGCUCAACCUGGGAACGGCAUCCGGAACUGUCAGGCUAGAGUGCAGGAGAGGAAGGUAGAAUUCCCGGUGUAGCGGUGAAAUGCGUAGAGAUCGGGAGGAAUACCAGUGGCGAAGGCGGCCUUCUGGACUGACACUGACGCUGAGGUGCGAAAGCGUGGGUAGCAAACAGGAUUAGAUACCCCGGUAGUC